GUCUUUGUCUCUCGUCUCGGCAAGACAUAUACUAAAAUUGGAACGGUACAGAGAAGAUUAGCAUGACCCCUGCGCAACGAUGACCAGCAAAAUGGUGAAACUUUUCACAUUUUU
rnacentral:snRNA from 1 species